GCAAUUUAUUAUGUCCAUAAAGAUUAAAAAUGUAUCUUUAUUUUUUAAUUUCUAAAUGUACACACACAUACAAGCAAUAGAAAAUAUAUGAAAAUAUAGUUUGCAUCACAUGGGGAGGUACAUUUUUAUGUAAUAAUGUGUUUUUCAGACAUUUAAUUGUUAUGUAUGUACGUACUAUAGUAACAAAAUAUCAUCAAAUUCCUAUAUCCAUGUGCUUUGAAGAAGGCCUUUCUCCAGGUUUGAAUUUUAUAUUGUACUCUCUUCUAUUUAAGUAUUUUUUUAUAAUAAUUUAAUUUUGGAUGCAAUAAGUCUUCUGAUUGGCUGACGUUUUUUUUUUCAUCAGCUCAUAGACAUAAUUUUGUCAUGUGAACCUGACAUCAUCAACGUUUUUUCAUGGUUUACUCCGGUUUGUAAUGGAAUUUAAAAUUAAAAUUAUAAGAAAUGACUGUAAUAUUUUUUAUGUCUAUUAGAAAUAACAUAAAAAUUUGGUGUGCACCACAUUUUUUGUUAUUUCUUGAUAGACAUAAAAAAUAUUACAG
rnacentral:lncRNA from 1 species